rnacentral:lncRNA from 1 species
AAAGGACAUUAUUUAUUACACACAUUGUAGUAGCUCACAGAGGCCUCAGCAGCAAUCAGGACACAUCACACUAGACACUGUAAAGACGUGGAGCACUGGAGAUCCCACCCUAACAUGCCUCCCAGUGUAAAUACAUCGGACAGACAGAAUUUAUUUGCUUUUCACAAUAACUCAGCCCUUGACUCACCACAGACCAGGCACAGUUCGACACAAAUGUGUCUCAACUUUCACAAAAGGUAUAUGACUCCCACAGGCAAAGGCUGCUCUUUCUUCAGUGGCUUUCCAAGGACCUUGCCUCCCUGUUAAUAGGGGAACCAGCAACCACCAGUUCUAAAAGAUUUUUAAAAAGAAAUUACUUAUUUAUAUGGCUAUUUAGAUAUGCAGUGAUUUUAAAUCAGCCACUGGAUACCAUCAGGCAUCUGUACUGCAUCUAUACCAAUUGCUAUUUGAAAGCUUGUGUAUUCGCAGUGCUCAUCUUCUAAACAUACUUGGUACCUCAACAAUCCUAGAAGCACAUGUAAUAUAAGCAUGUUGAUAAUGCAUUAAGUCAGUGAAUAACAUAAACCAGUGCAUGAUUAAAUUGCCAGAGUUAAUUCUUUUUCUCAUGCUCUUAAGUUUCACAUGACAAAUAUUCCACAUUUAAACUAUGCUGAUAGAAGAGGUAACAUACAUUCUAAUUAGAUCACUUUAUUAAAUCAAGUUGUGUUGCUUAGUACGUCUGUGCAGGUUGCAUGGGCUUCAAUGUAAACUGCACAAAUGAUGAUAAAAUCUCACUAAAGCACUUCUGAUCAUUAGAUUUCGAGUCACGUUAUCUAAGGGGUAAGUCUCAUUCUUCCCAUUUGGGUGACAAAGAAACUGAGACCACUGAAAUCACAUUUAUUAGUCACCUCAGAGCCAAAUUAAAAGAAUCUGCCCUCUCUAGUCCCAUCCUUGAGGACAAAGUUUAUCUCAUAAGCAACUAUUACCCAUAAAAUAAACAAAGCAGCAUGUAUUCUAGUAGAAGCCUCCACCAUUCAUCCCUCUAUCACCAUCACUGCUGCUCAGCAUUAUAGUGGGAACAAACAGAAACACAUAAUCUUACAGCUAGUCUAUUGUCAAAAUGACACAUUAGCAGAAAGAUUUAUAGACAUGUUUGCUUAUGAAAUAAAGGUCUGCAUGUUGAGAAAUGCAAACAUCUCUGUACAGGAGCUGCAUGCCACAGAGAAAGCUGCUCCCUGAAAGCUGUGCAGGACUCAGGAAGGUAGUAAUGAUACCUAUGAUUAUCAAGCUUUGCUGACUCCACCCCAAAAAAUAUCAG